UACGAAGGGGGCUAGCGUUGUUCGGAAUUACUGGGCGUAAAGCGCGCGCAGGCGGCUAUCCAAGUCAGUGGUGAAAGCCCGGAGCUCAACUCCGGAACUGCCAUUGAAACUGUUUAGCUGGAGUAUGAGAGAGGUGAGUGGAAUUCCCAGUGUAGAGGUGAAAUUCGUAGAUAUUGGGAAGAACACCGGUGGCGAAGGCGGCUCACUGGCUCAUUACUGACGCUGAGAUGCGAAAGCGUGGGGAGCAAACAGG
rnacentral:rRNA from 1 species